rnacentral:rRNA from 1 species
GACGAACGCUGGCGGCGUGCUUAACACAUGCAAGUCGAACGGGAUUUAGUAGACAGAAGCCUCGGCUAAAGAUUACUAAUGAGAGAGGCGAACGGGUGAGUAACGCGUGAGCAACCUGCCUAUGACAGAGGGAUAGCCUCGGGACACCGGGAUUAAUACCGCAUAAAAUCGUAGAAACAAAUGUUUUAACGGUCAAAGAUUUAUCGGUCAUAGAUGGGCUCGCGUCUGAUUGGCUGGCUGGUGAGAUAAAAGCCAACCAAGGCGAGGAUCAGUAGCCGGUCUGAGAGGCAGAACGGCCACACUGGAACUGAGACACGGUCCAAACUCCUACGGGAGGCAGCAGUGGGGAAUAUAGCACAAUGGCGGGUACCCUGAUGCAGCGACGCCGCGUGAACGAAGAAGGUAUUCGUAUCGUAAAGUUCUGUCCUAUGGGAAGAUAAUGACAGUACCAUAGAAGAAAGCUCCGGCUAAAUACGUG